rnacentral:tmRNA from 2 species
GGGGAUGACACUGGUUUCGACGGGGAUAUUGAAUCUGGAAUAGCGAGCCGUUUUCGUCUAAAAACGUUAAACAUGGGCAAAUAAAUAUAAACGCUGAAGAUAAUAAUUUAGCAUUAGCUGCUUAAUAGCAGCCUAAUAGUCCAUUUAAGCUUUCUCGCAGCUUAAAUCUGACUUCAUUAUUAGCGAGAACGUUAGUUGAGAGUUCUUCGACUCAACUUCCUAUAAGAAGAUACCCGAUACAAUAAUUUGUUAAUUGUUUAGUGUUGAGGGGAACUUAAUACAAUUAACUGCGCUCGGAGAGAUUCCCUUGGAUAUAUUUUCGGACGUGGGUUCAACUCCCACCAUCUCCACCA